rnacentral:ncRNA from 1 species
UAGAUAGAGGUCGCGUACUUCAUGAGUCAUUUCCCGGAUGUGGCAGGCGCAGGAGAAGGGAGAGAAAAGGGGAGCACGCCGAAAGGAUUUAUCUUCUGCAGAUAGAUACCUUGGGCAUGAGGUGAAGAACCUUAUGACUGUCAUCUUUUAUGAGAUGGGGAGCUAUCGGA